GACGUAGGGCGCGAGCGUUGUCCGGAUUUAUUGGGCGUAAAGAGCUCGUAGGCGGCUUGUUGCGUCGACUGUGAAAACCCGCGGCUUAACUGCGGGCUUGCAGUUGAUACGGGCAGGCUAGAGUUCGGUAGGGGAGACUGGAAUUCCUGGUGUAGCGGUGAAAUGCGCAGAUAUCAGGAGGAACACCGGUGGCGAAGGCGGGGUCUCUGGGCCGAUACUGACGCUGAGGAGCGAAAGCGUGGGGAGCGAACAGG
rnacentral:rRNA from 1 species